CCUACGGGAGGCAGCAGUAGGGAAUAUUGCACAAUGGGGGAAACCCUGAUGCAGCGACGCCGCGUGAGUGAAGAAGUAUUUCGGUAUGUAAAGCUCUAUCAGCAGGGAAGAAAAUGACGGUACCUGAGGAAGAAGCCCCGGCUAACUACGUGCCAGCAGCCGCGGUAAUACGUAGGGAGCAAGCGUUAUCCGGAUUUACUGGGUGUAAAGGGAGCGUAGACGGCAGGGCAAGUCUGUAGUGAAAUCCAUGGGCUUAACCCAUGAACUGCUAUGGAAACUGUCCGGCUGGAGUGAAGGAGAGGUAAGCGGAAUUCCCGGUGUAGCGGUGAAAUGCGUAGAUAUUAGGAGGAACACCAGUGGCGAAGGCGGCUUACUGGACUUUAACUGACGUUGAGGCUCGAAAGCGUGGGGAGCAAACAGGAUUAGAUACCCGUGUAGUC
rnacentral:rRNA from 1 species